rnacentral:rRNA from 1 species
GCAGUCGAGCGACAGAUAAGGAGCUUGCUCCUUUGACGUUAGCGGCGGACGGGUGAGUAACACGUGGGUAACCUACCUAUAAGACUGGAAUAACUCCGGGAAACCGGGGCUAAUGCCGGAUAACAUUUAGAACCGCAUGGUUCUAAAGUGAAAGAUGGUUUUGCUAUCACUUAUAGAUGGACCCGCGCCGUAUUAGCUAGUUGGUAAGGUAAUGGCUUACCAAGGCAACGAUACGUAGCCGACCUGAGAGGGUGAUCGGCCACACUGGAACUGAGACACGGUCCAGACUCCUACGGGAGGCAGCAGUAGGGAAUCUUCCGCAAUGGGCGAAAGCCUGACGGAGCAACGCCGCGUGAGUGAUGAAGGGUUUCGGCUCGUAAAACUCUGUUAUUAGGGAAGAACAAACGUGUAAGUAACUGUGCACGUCUUGACGGUACCUAAUCAGAAAGCCACGGCUAACUACGUGCCAGCAGCCGCGGUAAUACGUAGGUGGCAAGCGUUAUCCGGAAUUAUUGGGCGUAAAGCGCGCGUAGGCGGUUUCUUAAGUCUGAUGUGAAAGCCCACGGCUCAACCGUGGAGGGUCAUUGGAAACUGGGAGACUUGAGUGCAGAAGAGGAAAGUGGAAUUCCAUGUGUAGCGGUGAAAUGCGCAGAGAUAUGGAGGAACACCAGUGGCGAAAGCGACUUUCUGGUCUGUAACUGACGCUGAUGUGCGAAAGCGUGGGGAUCAAACAGGAUUAGAUACCCUGGUAGUCCACGCCGUAAACGAUGA